rnacentral:rRNA from 1 species
CUUGUAGGCGGUUUGUCGCGUCUGUCGUGAAAACCAGGGGCUUAACUCCUGGCGUGCGGUGGGUACGGGCAGGCUAGAGUGUGGUAGGGGAGACUGGAAUUCCUGGUGUAGCGGUGAAAUGCGCAGAUAUCAGGAAGAACACCGAUGGCGAAGGCAGGUCUCUGGGCCAUUACUGACGCUGAGAAGCGAAAGCAUGGGGGACGAACA